GAUGAACGCUGGCGGCGUGCCUAAUACAUGCAAGUCGAGCGAACGGACGAGAAGCUUGCUUCUCUGAUGUUAGCGGCGGACGGGUGAGUAACACGUGGAUAACCUACCUAUAAGACUGGGAUAACUUCGGGAAACCGGAGCUAAUACCGGAUAAUAUUUUGAACCGCAUGGUUUAAAAGUGAAAGACGGUCUUGCUGUCACUUAUAGAUGGAUCCGCGCUGCAUUAGCUAGUUGGUAAGGUAACGACUUACCAAGGCAACGAUGCAUAGCCGACCUGAGAGGGUGAUCGGCCACACUGGAACUGAGACACGGUCCAGACUCCUACGGGAGGCAGCAGUAGGGAAUCUUCCGCAAUGGGCGAAAGCCUGACGGAGCAACGCCGCGUGAGUGAUGAAGGUCUUCGGAUCGUAAAACUCUGUUAUUAGGGAAGAACAUAUGUGUAAGUAACUGUGCACAUCUUGACGGUACCUAAUCAGAAAGCCACGGCUAACUACGUG
rnacentral:rRNA from 1 species